rnacentral:lncRNA from 10 species
AGACUUCACAAGAGUCCUGUGCAAGAGGAAAGCCCAUUAUCUGCCCUGCUAGGGACACCGAGGCUCAGAGCCUGCUCACAGCAAGCAGAGGGCUGGAACUUCCAGCACACUUGCAGGGUAACUCCUAUUCUCACGUUAAGGGUGGACGGAUCUGUCAGAUGGAAUACAGGACUGCCAGAUUCACAGGCUAUUGUCUCUCUGCUUAGGACAGGAAGGGUUCCCAGAGGUCCUUGAGCACAACCAACUAUUGUAUAGCCAAGGAAACUAAGUCUUUCAAAUAGACGGGAAGGGGUGGGGUCAGGGUUUGAACUAAGAAUGUCUGCUUCAGAGAAGGAUGAGUUAUAUAACUUCAGCCAUAAAACAGGCACGUCCCCUACAAAUGUGGGGCUGGCUCUGCUCAGAGAGGAUCGUGGGGGAGGUAGACUUCUGUGUGGAGCCCCUCCCUGGUACAUCAUGCAUGCCAGUGCGUCCUGAAGGGCUGGGUGCAUUCCCCUUAGUGGGACGUGAGAUAAAUAAUUUUGAAUUCCCCAUUGAGACAGCUAUUUCCUCCCAAUUCCUCUCAUGGCAUCAGGGAAAGACUCCUGUUGGUGCUGAUACCUCUUUUACACCUGUCUCCAACUCAUGCUUGUCUCCCUUUUUGACAAAGAAGUCCAGAGCCUUCUACGGGCAAUGCUGUCCAGCUAGGAUAGAGUGGAGUUUUGUCGAGGAGCCAUUUGAGCUGAACCCUGAAAGGUCACUGGGAGCUUGAGAGGCAACUGGGAAGAAUAUUCUGUGUGGCGGGAACAGCUGGUGUAUAGUACUGGAAACAUAGGGAAGCGUGGCACAUUUUGUAGAAAGGGGAACCACUUGAUGUGACUGUAGGUGUGAGUGAUAAGGCAGAAAGGGGCACAAGGGGAAAGUCCCCUGAUGCCACGUGAAAGCGCCUGGGCUUUACUCUAUGGAUGAUGGAAUGGCUUUGAGCAGAAGCAAGGGUUUUGGAGGGAGUGACACUAGAGGCAGCUAGGCAGUUACAGGAUUCUAUCAGUACUCCAGGCUAAAGAUGAUG